rnacentral:lncRNA from 1 species
AUACAUAAAAUAAAAGUCCAACUCAUAUCCUAAAGGUUCAAUUCAUAUCCUAAAGGUUCAACUCAUAUCCACAAAAGUUCAAGUCAUAUCCUAAAAUUUUAAUUUAUAAACUAAAAUUCCAAUACAUAAACUAAAAGUCCAACUCAUUCAUAUCCUAAAUGUUCAAUUCAUAUCCUAAAGGUUCAACUCAUAUCUAUCCACAAAAGUUCAAGUCAUAUCCUAAAAUUUCAAUUUAUAAACUAAAAGUCCAAUUCAUAUCCUAAAUGUUCAAUUCAUAUCCUAAAGGUUCAACUCAUAUCCACAAAAGUUCAAGUCAUAUCCUAAAAUUUCAAUUUAUAAACUAAAAUUUCAAUACAUAAACUAAAAGUCCAACUUAUAUCCUAAAGGUUCAAUUCAUAUCCUAAAGGUUCAACUCAUAUCCACAAAAGUUCAAUUCAUAUCCUAAAAUUCAAUUUAUAAACUAAAAUUCCAAUACAUAAACCAA